rnacentral:rRNA from 1 species
CCCCCGUGCAGGAAGAAGGUCCUCUGGAUUGUAAACUGCUUUUCUUGGGGAAGAAAACCCUUCUGCGGAAGGAAUUGACGGUACUCAAGGAAUAAGCAUCGGCUAACUCCGUGCCAGCAGCCGCGGUAAUACGGAGGAUGCGAGCGUUGUCCGGAUUUACUGGGUUUAAAGGGUGCGUAGGCGGGCGAUUAAGUGAGAAUUGAGAGGCAGUCGCUCAACGAUUGUAAGGUUCUCAUACUGGUUGUCCUGAGAGUAGUGGAGGCAGAUGGAAUGAGUGGAGUAGCGGUGAAAUGCAUAUAUACCACUUGGAACACCGAUUGCGAAGGCAGUCUGCUACGCUAUAUCUGACGCUGAGG